AUGAAGCUGGAAUUGCUAGUAAUCACAGGUCAGCAUACUGUGGUGAAUACGUUCCCGGGCCUUGUACACACCGCCCGUCACACCAUGAGAGUUGAGAAUACCCGAAGUCCAUGUCAAAGUGGCCGAAGGUAGGCUUGAUGAUUGGGGUGAAGUCGUAACAAGGUACC
rnacentral:rRNA from 1 species